rnacentral:rRNA from 1 species
CUACGGGCGGCUGCAGUGGGGAAUAUUGCACAAUGGAGGAAACUCUGAUGCAGCAACGCCGCGUGGAGGAUGACACUUUUCGGAGCGUAAACUCCUUUUAUAUAGGAAGAAGAUGACGGUACUAUAUGGAUAAGCGCCGGCUAACUCCGUGCCAGCAGCCGCGGUAAUACGGAGGGCGCAAGCGUACUCGGAAUCACUGGGCGUAAAGAGCGUGUAGGCGGAUUAAAAAGUCAGAAGUGAAAUCCUAUAGCUUAACUAUAGAACUGCUUCUGAAACUCUUAAUCUAGAAUAUGGGAGAGGUAGAUGGAAUUUCUGGUGUAGGGGUAAAAUCCGUAGAGAUCAGAAGGAAUACCGAUUGCGAAGGCGAUCUACUAGAACAUUAUUGACGCUGAGACGCGAAAGCGUGGGGAGCAAACAGGAUUAGAUACCCCGGUAGUC